AACGCUAGCUACAGGCUUAACACAUGCAAGUCGAGGGGAAACGACAUCGAAAGCUUGCUUUUGAUGGGCGUCGACCGGCGCACGGGUGAGUAACGCGUAUCCAACCUGCCCAUCACUUGGGGAUAACCUUGCGAAAGUAAGACUAAUUCCCAAUGAUAUCUCUAGAAGACAUCUGAAGGAGAUUAAAGAUUUAUCGGUGAUGGAUGGGGAUGCGUCUGAUUAGCUUGUUGGCGGGGUAACGGCCCACCAAGGCGACGAUCAGUAGGGGUUCUGAGAGGAAGGUCCCCCACAUUGGAACUGAGACACGGUCCAAACUCCUACGGGAGGCAGCAGUGAGGAAUAUUGGUCAAUGGGCGAGAGCCUGAACCAGCCAAGUAGCGUGCAGGAUGACGGCCCUAUGGGUUGUAAACUGCUUUUAUAAGGGAAUAAAGUGAGUCUCGUGAGACCUUUUGCAUGUACCUUAUGAAUAAGGACCGGCUAAUUCCGUGCCAGCAGCCGCGGUAAUACGGAAGGUCCGGGCGUUAUCCGGAUUUAUUGGGUUUAAAGGGAGCGUAGGCCGGAGAUUAAGCGUGUUGUGAAAUGUAGAUGCUCAACAUCUGCACUGCAGCGCGAACUGGUUUCCUUGAGUACGCACAAAGUGGGCGGAAUUCGUGGUGUAGCGGUGAAAUGCUUAGAUAUCACGAAGAACUCCGAUUG
rnacentral:rRNA from 1 species